rnacentral:rRNA from 1 species
AUUGAACGCUGGCGGCAGGCCUAACACAUGCAAGUCGAACGAGUGGCGGACGGGUGAGUAAUGUCUGGGACACUGCCCGAUGGAGGGGGAUAACUACUGGAAACGGUAGCUAAUACCGCAUACCAUCGGAUGUGCCCAGAUGGGCUUAGCUAGUAGGUGGGGUAGAGGCUCACCUAGGCGACGAUCCCUAGCUGGUCUGAGAGGAUGACCAGCAACACGGGAACUGAGAAACGGUCCAGACUCCUACGGAAGGAAGAAGAGGGGAAGAUUGCACAAUGGGGGCAAGCCUGAUGCAGCCAGGCCGCGUGUAGGAAGAAGGCCUUGGGGUUGUAAAGUACGUUGAGCGGGGAGGCGUUACCCGCAGAAGAAGCACCGGCUAACUCCGUGCCAGCAGCCGCGGUAAUAC